GAUUAGUAAUCGUUGACACCAGUGAGUCAGGGUUUGGGAGUGAGAGCUCAAGGAACUGGGUGCUCGCUGGAGAGAGAGGUGAGAAGGGUGGCGUGCCCAGCAUGGUGAGAACCCGCAAGUCACGUCUUGGUUAGUUGUGUCCUUAAAAGAGAGAGUUAUUCGUCUUUCAGGAUUUCUGGGCUGGUGUUCAGGAAGUGACAGGCUGCACCAUGAGAACGUGCCCAGGCCAGCCUGCUGGAGGAUCAGAGACACGUGGGACACGUGGAACAGAGUACAGCUGCUCCAGCGGAGGCCAGCCUAUAUCGACCAAGGCCCAGCCAACACCCAGACAUAGGAAGACAAGCCUCCUUGCCCUCCUGGGAGAUCUCAGCCACCCUGUCUGAAGCAUUUCGUGUGCAAAUGGAGGUAUCAUUUCACCUUUUGGAGGAUGUGUGCUGACUACCUAACAGAGGAGAAACAGUUAAAAUGCUCAGGGCUGGGUAAAUUCUAAGGAGGAGCUGAAAUGAACUUCUGAAGUUCAAAGAUUACCUGAAGUUCCUGGGUCCAGCUUGUAAUUUUUUUAUAAUGUUCCAGAAGGUAUUUCAGAUACAAAGACAAUCCUUAAAGAGAGAAGGAAGAAGAAGAAAAAUAACCGGGAUGUAAUAGAGACAAAGGAGCCAGCAGCAUUUCUUAACUGCAGCAUUCUCGACGUGUUGGGCUGGACAGUCCUCGUUGUGGGAGCCGUCCUGGGCACUGUAGGACGUUUAGUAGCAUCCCUAGCCUCUGCCUACUGGCUGCCAGGAGCAUCACCCACCCAAGCUGUAAUUAUCAAAGAUGAGAGGGUUUCAAGAAAGCAAACCGAGAGGGUUGGGUAGGCCAGAGAGAACAUGGUGGGCGGAGGAAGGUGGGGCUUCAGUGCAGGGGGGCCACGUCAGUUUUCAAAGAGGCAAAGUAGGAAGUUGGUGGUGAGCACACAGGGUGUAACGCACUUCAAGGUCUUAAUGGGACAGGAGUACGAGCGGUAGAAAAGGAGCUGAAGAAGCAGUGGUCCCAGUGAAGAUGCACCAGCUUGAAGCGCAUGUUUGAUGACAAAGGAGAAGAUGGAGUGAGAGGCUGUGUACGCUGAAGGAGGAGGUCAUGAUUCAGGAGCUUGUGCACAAGGUGGUCUGGGAGGGAGAGAGAAGGGGAGACUCAGGGAGGGAAGAGCUGCAUUUGGAAAGAGAACGUAGUGAGGGAAGAUAGAGGGAAAGGAGAAAAGAUGGGUGCGGAGAGAGACAGGAGGGGAGCUGAACAGGCUCGUGCCUGGGCCCCUGACCUCUGACAAUGCCACUUGCUGAGAAUUUCCAGCUUGGAAGAGUGAGAAGAAGAAGAUUAUAAUAAUAGCGAUUCAGUAUUAACCACUUGCUGUGUGCCAGGCACCAUGCAAGGAGUUUAACACGUGAUAUUUUCUGAUCAUUGCAAACAGCCCAGCAAGGCAAUGUGUUUGCAUUUAUAGGUGAGACACAGACUCUCAGCAAGGUUAAGCUAUGGAGCUGGUAAGCAGUAGGAUCAGAAUUCAGACCUAGGUCUGUCAUUCUCUUUUCAGAGAGACUAGAGGCUGGAGAGUGAAGGGCUGGGCUGGCUGAUGUGAAGGGUGCGUGAGGAGAGGGGCACUCGGAGGACCCCGAGAUGGCAGAGAUGGGUGAUGCUGACUUGGGCUGUUGGAAAGAGGGAUUUUCUUCUUUGGGAGAAGAAGCAAUUCUUGAUUAUAGUUCUGGUUACAAAAGUUACACAUGCCUGUUAACACAAAUCCAAACAGGGCAGAAACCCAUAAAGUGGAAAGUGUCCCCCCGCUGUAUCCUCAGUGGCCGGCACACAGUAGGCCUGCAAUAAAUAGUUGUUGAAUGACUGAGUGAAAGUCAAGGCUCACGCAGUCUCAUCAUGCUGGGAUAAUACUCUCAACACUUAUAUGUCUUUUCCACCAGAUUUCUCCUGUGGUCAGAUAGUGGCAUUUGAAAAAAAAAAAAGGGGGGGAGAACACUGUUCAUAUUGUAUUACAACUUGCUUUUUUUCACAUAAAAAUACUGCAUAUCUUGGAUAUCUGAGAAAGAGCGAUUUUCUAUGCAUGCAGGGAAGCCUUUUAUUUGCAACAAAAUCUUGCAGAAAUAGACACAGUCAACUGAGCUUGCAAAGAAAAAUGUAAGAAGUCCUUUCUUUCCCUUAUCAAAAGAAGCUGAGAAACCAGGCAGGAGGAGAGGGGAGCUAACUUUUAAGGUCCUCCUUAGAUGUUUCCUAUCUUCCAGUGGGACCACACAGUAAUCCUUCAGCAAUCAGAUUUUUUUUUUUUUUUAGGUCACAGCUUUUUAAUUUUUUAAUUGAGAUAUAGUCGAUGUAAAAUAUUGUAUGUUUCAGGUGUACAACAUAGUG